rnacentral:rRNA from 1 species
UACGGGGGGAGCAAGCGUUGUUCGGAUUUACUGGGCGUAAAGGGCGCGUAGGCGGCCACCGCAAGUCGACUGUGAAAUCUCCGGGCUUAACCCGGAAAGGUCAGCCGAUACUGCGGGGCUAGAGUGCAGAAGGGGCAACUGGAAUUCUCGGUGUAGCGGUGAAAUGCGUAGAUAUCGAGAGGAACACCUGCGGCGAAGGCGGGUUGCUGGGCUGCAACUGACACUGAUGAACGAAAGCCAGGGGAGCAAACGGG